GACGAACGCUGGCGGCGUGCUUAACACAUGCAAGUCGAACGGUGAAGCUCCAGCUUGCUGGAGUGGAUCAGUGGCGAACGGGUGAGUAACACGUGAGCAACCUGCCCCAGACUCUGGAAUAAGCGCUGGAAACGGCGCCUAAUACUGGAUACGAGAUCAAGCCGCAUGGUUAUGGUCUGGAAAGUUUUUCGGUUUGGGAUGGGCUCGCGGCCUAUCAGCUUGUUGGUGAGGUAAUGGCUCACCAAGGCGACGACGGGUAGCCGGCCUGAGAGGGCGACCGGCCACACUGGGACUGAGACACGGCCCAGACUCCUACGGGAGGCAGCAGUGGGGAAUAUUGCACAAUGGGCGAAAGCCUGAUGCAGCGGCGCCGCGUGAGGGAUGACGGCCUUCGGGUUGUAAACCUCUUUCAGCAGGGAAGAAGCGAAAGUGACGGUACCUGCAGAAGAAGCACCGGCUAACUACGUG
rnacentral:rRNA from 1 species